GCGAUGAAGCGGGAGGUUGCGGCCCACUGCGGCCGGUUUUUCCGUGGAGUAUGUCCGAUUUGAAACCGGGCGA
rnacentral:ncRNA from 1 species